rnacentral:lncRNA from 1 species
AUAACAUAGCAUGUUAGAAAAUGAUAACAUAAUGAGGCCUUUGUAGCUCAUCCCCAAAAUGGAGAGAAGUGAUAAUCAAAAGGUUUUAGGAAAAAGACACUUCCUCAACUUCAACCUCUGACACGGGAGGUGUGGAAGGAAAAGCCAAGGCAGCCUUGGCCAGGAGCAGCACUGCCCAUUUCCCUGGGUUGCUUUGCACACAGCCUGCAGCAGGCAGCACAGCACUGCACGUGCAUACAGCACUCUGCCUCAAGUGGCUUUACCACAGUAAAAAGAGUAUCAGCUUUUGCUUAUAAAUGAGAUGAAAGGUUUUUCAUGAGAGGAAAGCAGUUCAGCAGGCAGGGGGAGAGCGAGUGGGAAGGCAGACGGGUCACGGAGCAAAGCUGGGUGAGGAUAUGAGGAUGGUGGUUUUCAGUCUCAGGCGUUGCCAGGUUGGCUGGUGAUGUGCCUGCUUGUAUUUUUCAGGAAGGAAAAUGAGUGACACUGGGAUUCAUAAAUAACCAGUGAAGCUUUGAAAGCUCAGCACGGAGCUGAGGCGAAGAGCUGCUGCAGUUUUCUUUGUAGGUCUGCUGAAGGCUGUGGUUUGGUGCCCUGGAUGGCACAGGAGCUGGGAGAGGGGCAGUCCCAGAGCACCUUCAAUCUCCUCCUGCAGAUGAGCAGAACACCCCAGAUAGCACUAUGGGAUGAAGGGCUUUGCUGCCCACUGCUCCUCUGUGCCUCACCAGCUGCUGGGACAGCCGGGAAGAGAGCCUGAAAGGUGACCAUUGCUGUACAGUAGAAGACUGUCAACC